rnacentral:tRNA from 1 species
GCCCGGAUGGCGAAAUUGGUAGACGCAAGGGACUUAAAAUCCCUCGGCCGGAAACGGCCAUGCCGGUUCGAUUCCGGCUCCGGGCACCA